rnacentral:rRNA from 1 species
UACAGAGGGUGCGAGCGUUGUCCGGAAUCACUGGGCGUAAAGGGCGCGUAGGCGGCUUGAUAAGCGUGCGGUGAAAGCCCGGGGCUCAACCCCGGGUCGGCCGUGCGAACUGUCGAGCUGGAGCACUGUAGAGGCAGGUGGAAUUCCGGGUGUAGCGGUGGAAUGCGUAGAGAUCCGGAAGAACACCGGUGGCGAAGGCGGCCUGCUGGGCGAGUGGCUGACGCUGAGGCGCGACAGCGUGGGGAGCAAACAGG